ACUUUCAAAUCAAUGCAUCCGAGCAGGAUUUCAUCGAAGGAACGUCUAAACAAGACAUCAUUUUUGAGCAACACAUACUUCGUGAACAUAGUUCACAUGUUUUUGCGCUGAACACGGUCAUCCGGGAUACGACUAUGUUUGAAAAGUCAAAGAUGGGCUCUCGCCAAGGGUCCGGUUUCCAUAGAGACGCAGCUCUAAAUGUUGAACUUGAGCUGCAGCUUCUUUCAUAGUGAUUUUUCAUGCCGCCUAAAAAGAAAACCAGGGCAUCCUGAUUACCCAUAACGUCUUAAAAGAGCUGACAAAAAAAUACAACCUAUUGCGCUUCUGUCUCUCCCUUCCCUCAAUCUUCUCCCUCUACCCUCUCCAAUCUUCUCUCUCUUUUCUCAUACUAUCCCGAAGCUCCUCCGUCAAUCUUCUGUCUUUUAGCUUUUUCUCUCUAAAUUUCUGGGUUUUUACCUCAGCCUCUAUUCUUCAUAGGAGAUAGCCAGCUUCUGGAGAGGUGCAUAAACGGAAGAUGAGCAGCGAAAACUCGCCCUAACUGAUGGUGGAUUGGAUGGUCCUCCCUCUCUUUCUAUUGUGUUGAAUUGGAAGCACUUUAAUGAAGCAGUUCACUGCUUGAUUGCUCAUAGAGGAUGUUGUGGCAUACAGCAGCAAACGAUGAAGCUUUAUCGGGGAUAAGUGGACUUCAAAUUGCUGGUGAUGCAUUCCCAAGACGGGUGAUUCAAGCAUGUGGAUUCCCCAUAGAGCCUGAUUGUAAUUUUGUACAAAAAAUAUGAAAUAUUUGUAUCUUGUUUUCUAUAUUUGUUAUUGCUAGUGUAAGCAAGUUGAUGGAGUUCUAAGUGGAUUUUUCUCAUUGUUAUUGCCAACUCAAAUCGUUUUUUGUCGAUUUUCCCAAUACUAUGGGCGAGGUGUGGAUUGAUAUUGAAUGA